GUAGGAUGCGAGCGUUGUCCGGAUUCAUUGGGCGUAAAGAGUUCGUAGGCGGUUUGUUAAGUUUGAUGUUAAAUAUCGGGGCCUAACCUCGAGAGUGCAUUGAAUACUGGCAGACUGGAGUGCAGUAGAGGCGAGUGGAAUUCCCAGUGUAGCGGUGAAAUGCGUAGAUAUUGGGAAGAACACCGGUGGCGCAGGCGACUCGCUGGGCUGUAACUGACGCUGAGGAACGAAAGCUAGGGGAGCAAAUGGGAUUAGAUACCCCAGUAGUCCUAGCUGUAAACGAUGGAUACUAGGCGUUGCAGGUAUCGACCCCUGCAGUGCCGCAGUUAACGCGAUAAGUAUCCCGCCUGAGUAGUACGGCCGCAAGGUUG
rnacentral:rRNA from 1 species